rnacentral:sRNA from 1 species
GCCAGGCUUGGUGGCGCACGCCUUUAAUCCCAGCACUUGGGAGGCAGAGGCAGGUGGAUCUUUGUGAGUUCGAGGCCAGCCUGGUCUACAUAGUGAGUUCCAAGACAGAUGGGGCUACAAGGAGACCCUGUCUCAAAAAAGAUAAAAAAAACAAACCAAAAAAACAGGGUCUCACCAUGUAGCCCUACCUGGCCUGGAACUUGCUAUGUAGCUCAGACUGGCCUUGAAUUCACACAGAUCUACCUGCCUCU